UUCCUUCCCGCUUCCCUUCCCACCCCUAUCACCCCCUCGGCACCGGUCGGUAACUGUCCGCUGCUGUCGGCUCCACAGGGACCGCCGUGCGGCCCGCCGACGAGGAGAUGCCUGAGCUAUCCGACGGUGAGGAAGCCUGGGAGGAGGAAGAGCAGGAGGAGGAAGGCACCAGUGAGGGCCUGCGGACCCGCUGCCUUUUCUGCGACAGGUUGUUUACUUCUGCUGAAGGUGUGUUUUCCCACUGCAAAGCAGAGCAUGAAUUCAGUGUUUGUGAUGUGAUCCAGAAACAUGGACUUGAUUUUUAUGGAUACAUUAAACUAAUAAACUUUGUUAGAUUAAAGAAACCAACAGGACCAUAUUUGAGUUCUCUCAGCAGCCCACUGCCCUGGGAAGGAGAGGAAUAUUUGAAACCAGAGCUAGAUGAUGAUCUCCUCCUUCAGUUUGAUAUAGAAGAUCUUUGUGAACCUGAAAACGCGUUGCCUUGUAAUGGCUUAAAUGAUAACACAAUGAUCCUUGAACAAUUAAAACAUGCAGAACACAGAGCAAGACUUGCAGAAGCAGCCUUGGCUGGAGCACAAGAGGAUCUUCAAAAAAUGAGGCGAUUUGCGCAGGAUUUUGUGAUGAACGCAGAUGUUGGGAGCAGCUUGUCAUCCGUUGCCAUUGCAGACCUUCAGGAGGAUGAGGAUGGCGUUUACUUCAGCUCGUAUGGGCAUUAUGGGAUACACGAAGAGAUGCUAAAGGAUAAAGUGCGUACAGAAAGCUAUCGUGACUUUAUCUACCAGAACCCACAUAUCUUCAAGGACAAGGUAGUCUUGGAUGUUGGCUGUGGAACUGGAAUACUCUCCAUGUUUGCUGCCAAAGCAGGUGCAAAGAAAGUGAUUGGAGUUGACCAGUCUGAAAUCAUCUAUCAGGCCAUGGACAUCAUUAGAUUAAAUAAACUUGAAAAUAUCAUUACGUUAGUCAAAGGAAGAGUCGAAGAAGUAGAUCUGCCGUUGGAAAAAGUGGAUGUGAUAGUAUCUGAAUGGAUGGGUUAUUUCCUUCUCUUUGAGUCAAUGCUGGAUUCUGUCAUCUAUGCAAAGGACAAAUACCUGACUGAGGGAGGCUCAGUUUAUCCUGACAUGUGCACCAUUAGUCUAGUAGCUGUUGGAGACAUGAAGAAACAUGCAGACAAGCUACUUUUCUGGGAAGAUGUAUAUGGCUUUGACAUGUCUUGUAUGAAGAAGGCUGUAAUUCCAGAAGCUUUUGUGGAAGUGCUGGAUCCAAACACAGUGAUAUCUACCGCCAGUGUCAUUAAGCAUGUUGACUGUAAUACUGCAUCCACUCCAGACUUAGAAUUCUCUUCAGAUUUCACCCUGACCAUCACAACGAGCACAAAGUGUACGGCAAUUGCUGGGUAUUUUGAUAUCUUUUUUGAGAAGAACUGUCAAAAUAAGGUCUUGUUUUCAACUGGUCCCCAGUGUACCAAAACGCACUGGAAACAGACAGUUUUUCUCCUGGAGAAACCAAUUCCUGUAGAAGAAGGAGAAAGUCUGAGAGGAGAAAUAACAGUCCGCAAGAACAGAAAGGAUCCACGGUCCCUCUUUAUAACCCUCUCCAUGAAGGACACACAUCAGACCUACAGCCUUCAGUGAAAAUUGUGUUCAUAUCAAUGUUAAAUUUAAAUGUUAGAGUUACCUGUUGCUAACUGUUUCUAAAUAUCCCAAAAUUAUAAGCUCUGGGGUAUACACACACACAAGAAUAUGCAAAGCUUAUCUAGAAUGGAGGGAGAAAUAAGAACCUAAGUCGAGGUGCCAGUGCACCUCAACAGUAGCCAGAAGGUCCCAGUGAGAAUAAAUGUGGAAUUCCAACUGCAGGAUUGCAGCAACAAAAACCUUAUUUUUAUUACACUUCUAUAAUUAAAAAGUUGUAUCACUGUUCAAUUACAUUUAUCUAAAUAAAUGAACUGAGUAUGUUGUAUAA